rnacentral:rRNA from 1 species
AUAAGACAUAGCAAAGUCGAACGGAAGUCGUUGUAAUGAUAUAGACAUGGACAGAGAACUUGUUCGAAGAAAGUGAAAGUUGACUUACAACAAUGGCUUUAGUGGCGGACUGGUGAGUAACACGUAAGCAACCUGCCUAUCAGAGGGGAACAACAGUUAGAAAUGACUGCUAAUACCGCAUAUGCCUUAGCAACACAUGUUGUAAAGGGAAAGGAGCAAUCCGCUGAUAGAUGGGCUUGCGUCUGAUUAGAUAGUUGGUGGGGUAACGGCCUACCAAGUCGACGAUCAGUAGCCGGACUGAGAGGUUGAGCGGCCACAUUGGGACUGAGAUACGGCCCAGACUCCUACGGGAGGCAGCAGUCGGGAAUAUUGCGCAAUGGAGGAAACUCUGACGCAGUGACGCCGCGUGCAGGAAGAAGGUUUUCGGAUUGUAAACUGCUUUAGACAGGGAAGAAAAAAGACAGUACCUGUAGAAUAAGCUCCGGCUAACUACGUG